GUGGAUGUAGCUCAAUGGUAGAGCGCCGGUUUGUGGCACCGGUGGCUGUGGGUUCAAGUCCCAUCAUCCACC
rnacentral:tRNA from 1 species